CUUGUAUAAAUACUUACCUUUGUAGUAUACUCUACAUCAGUUGACUCUAAGUUUCUGUUUGCAGUAAUUCGCACUAACUUCUGAAAAAAAAAGAUGAACUUCAAGGUAUUUAUGCUUCUUGUGCUGGCCGUUUUGGCUAUGAUGCAUUCAGCCAAUGCUGGCCAAGCAAAGAGAGAUGCAGUCACAAAAACGGCCAGGAACGCAAGAGAAGCCGUGCCUACAGCACCUGUCUACAAGAGGGAAGCUGCAAUGCCUCAAAAAGGCUCAAUGUGCGUGACCGAUCCAUGCCCUUAGCGGAUGAGCUAUGUAGCGGAAAAAAUCACAAAUGGUUGAUUUCCUUGAAAGUUGUGAUUAAAACAUAGUGAAAAAAAUUUUUUUUUUUGGAAUUUCAUUAUUCAUCUGAAGAAAAUAAUAAAUCCAAGUAGAAAGA